AAGUCGUAACAAGGUUUCCGUAGGUGAACCUGCGGAAGGAUCAUUAACACGUAUCCACGUUAUCAAACCAAUGAGAACCGUUUUCCCGUCUCCCUGCUGCAUGAAAUGAAUUGGUCACCAGUCUGAGGGGGUGAUGGGACCGAUAAGGUCGACCUUCCUGGCACACUGAUGUUUUAAUUCGUUUAUUCGGAUGGACAUCGACAAUUGUAUUUGUGUUCUGCAGGCUAAUUCUUUAUCGCUUUGAUCCCCUCACGAUCGUGGCGGUAGGGAAGCCCUUUAAACUACAUUUACCCCCUUUUUGCUAGUUGACUUUUUAUAUGUGUUGUUGGUUCGAUUGCUUCAUUGCAACGGGCUCUCGGCACACGUUUAUUAAUUGAACGUUAAAAAAUACAACUCUUAGCAAUGGAUAUCUUGGUUCUC
rnacentral:misc_RNA from 1 species